rnacentral:rRNA from 1 species
AGAGUUUGAUCAUGGCUCAGAUUGAACGCUGGCGGCAGGCCUAACACAUGCAAGUCGAACGGUAACAGGAAGCAGCUUGCUGCUUUGCUGACGAGUGGCGGACGGGUGAGUAAUGUCUGGGAAACUGCCUGAUGGAGGGGGAUAACUACUGGAAACGGUAGCUAAUACCGCAUAACGUCGCAAGACCAAAGAGGGGGACCUUCGGGCCUCUUGCCAUCGGAUGUGCCCAGAUGGGAUUAGCUAGUAGGUGGGGUAAAGGCUCACCUAGGCGACGAUCCCUAGCUGGUCUGAGAGGAUGACCAGCCACACUGGAACUGAGACACGGUCCAGACUCCUACGGGAGGCAGCAGUGGGGAAUAUUGCACAAUGGGCGCAAGCCUGAUGCAGCCAUGCCGCGUGUAUGAAGAAGGCCUUCGGGUUGUAAAGUACUUUCAGCGGGGAGGAAGGGAGUAAAGUUAAUACCUUUGCUCAUUGACGUUACCCGCAGAAGAAGCACCGGCUAACUCCGUGCCAGCAGCCGCGGUAAUACGGAGGGUGCAAGCGUUAAUCGGAAUUACUGGGCGUAAAGCGCACGCAGGCGGUUUGUUAAGUCAGAUGUGAAAUCCCCGGGCUCAACCUGGGAACUGCAUCUGAUACUGGCAAGCUUGAGUCUCGUAGAGGGGGGUAGAAUUCCAGGUGUAGCGGUGAAAUGCGUAGAGAUCUGGAGGAAUACCGGUGGCGAAGGCGGCCCCCUGGACGAAGACUGACGCUCAGGUGCGAAAGCGUGGGGAGCAAACAGGAUUAGAUACCCUGGUAGUCCACGCCGUAAACGAUGUCGACUUGGAGGUUGUGCCCUUGAGGCGUGGCUUCCGGAGCUAACGCGUUAAGUCGACCGCCUGGGGAGUACGGCCGCAAGGUUAAAACUCAAAUGAAUUGACGGGGGCCCGCACAAGCGGUGGAGCAUGUGGUUUAAUUCGAUGCAACGCGAAGAACCUUACCUGGUCUUGACAUCCACGGAAGUUUUCAGAGAUGAGAAUGUGCCUUCGGGAACCGUGAGACAGGUGCUGCAUGGCUGUCGUCAGCUCGUGUUGUGAAAUGUUGGGUUAAGUCCCGCAACGAGCGCAACCCUUAUCCUUUGUUGCCAGCGGUCCGGCCGGGAACUCAAAGGAGACUGCCAGUGAUAAACUGGAGGAAGGUGGGGAUGACGUCAAGUCAUCAUGGACCUUACGACCAGGGCUACACACGUGCUACAAUGGCGCAUACAAAGAGAAGCGACCUCGCGAGAGCAAGCGGACCUCAUAAAGUGCGUCGUAGUCCGGAUUGGAGUCUGCAACUU